UACGAAGGGUGCAAGCGUUACUCGGAAUUACUGGGCGUAAAGCGUGCGUAGGUGGUUUGUUAAGUCUGAUGUGAAAGCCCUGGGCUCAACCUGGGAAUUGCAUUGGAUACUGGCAGGCUAGAGUGCGGUAGAGGGUAGUGGAAUUCCGGUGUAGCAGUGAAAUGCGUAGAGAUCGGGAGGAACAUCAGUUGCGAAGGCGGACUCGUCUGGACCAGCACUGACACUGAGGCACGAAAGCGUGGGGAGGCAAACAGGAUUAGAAACCCGAUUG
rnacentral:rRNA from 1 species